rnacentral:rRNA from 1 species
GGUUUUUUGAUAUAAAAUAUAAGAUCAGGUCUGCUCAAUGAUUAUAAAUUAAAUGGCUGCAGUAUUUUGACUGUACAAAGGUAGCAUAAUCAUUUGCCUUUUAAUUGGAGGCUGGAAUGAAUGAUUUAAUGAGAAUUAUACUUUCUUUAAUUUUAUAGAAGAAUUUAAUUUAUAAGUUAAAAAGCUUAUAUAUAUUUAAAAGACGAGAAGACCCUAUAGAAUUUUAUUAUAGUUUAUAUAUAUUUAUAUUUGAUUAUAAAAAGAUAUAUAUAAUAUAUAAUUUGGUUGGGGUGAUUAAAAAAAUUUAAUAACUUUUAUUAUUUUUAUACAUUUAUAUAUGUAAAUUUGAUUUGAUUAUUAAUUAUUAUAAGAUUAAAUUACCUUAGGGAUAACAGCGUUAUUAUUUUAAAGAGAUCAUAUCGAUAAAAUAGUUUGCGACCUCGAUGUUGGAUUAAAAUUAAUUUUAGGUGUAGAAGUUUAAUAAUUAAGUCUGUUCGACUUUUAAAUUUUA